rnacentral:ncRNA from 2 species
AUCUUAUCUAGAAUUAGGGGAGAGAGUUGGCUCAAUGAUCCUAUACCAACCUACUGAAAAAGUAAGGUGGUCCAGCUAACAGCGAUAAGAA